UACAGAGGGUGCUAGCGUUGUUCGGAAUCAUUGGGCGUAAAGGGCGUGUAGGCGGUUUGCUAAGUCAUGUGUGAAAUCCCUCGGCUCAACCGGGGAACGACGCAUGAAACUGGCAAGCUAGAGUACCAAAGAGGGGGGUGGAAUUCCCAGUGUAGCGGUGAAAUGCGUAGAUAUCGGGAGGAACACCUGUGGCGAAGGCGGCCCCCUGGUUGGAUACUGACGCUGAGACGCGAAAGCGUGGGGAGCAAACAGG
rnacentral:rRNA from 1 species